CGGGCGUAACACGUGUGCAACCUGCCUUUAUCUGGGGGAUAGCCUUUCGAAGGAAGAUUAAUACUCCAUAAUAUAUUGAACGGCAUCGUUUAAUAUUGAAAGCUCCGGCGGAUAGAGAUGGGCACGCGCAAGAUUAGCUAGUUGGUGAGGUAACGGCUCACCAAGGCGAUGAUCUUUAGGGGGCCUGAGAGGGUGAUCCCCCACACUGGUACUGAGACACGGACCAG
rnacentral:rRNA from 1 species